rnacentral:rRNA from 1 species
AUUGAACGCUGGCGGCAUGCCUUACACAUGCAAGUCGAACGGCAGCACGGGGCAACCUGGUGGCGAGUGGCGAACGGGUGAGUAAUGCAUCGGAACGUACCUUUCAGUGGGGGAUAACGUAGCGAAAGUUACGCUAAUACCGCAUAUUCUGUGAGCAGGAAAGCAGGGGAUCGCAAGACCUUGCGCUGAUUGAGCGGCCGAUGUCAGAUUAGCUAGUUGGUGAGGUAAAGGCUCACCAAGGCGACGAUCUGUAGCGGGUCUGAGAGGAUGAUCCGCCAGACUGGAACUGAGAAACGGUCCAGACUCCUACGGGAGGCAGCAGUGGGGAAUUUUGGACAAUGGGGGCAACCCUGAUCCAGCCAUGCCGCGUGAGUGAAGAAGGCCUUCGGGUUGUAAAGCUCUUUCGGCCGGGAAGAAAUCGCACGGGCUAAUACCCUGUGUGGAUGACGGUACCGGAAUAAGAAGCACCGGCUAACUACGUGCCAGCCGCCGCAGUAA